GACGAACGCUGGCGGCGUGCCUAAUACAUGCAAGUCGAACGCUUCUUUCCUCCCGAGUGCUUGCACUCAAUUGGAAAGGGGAGUGGCGGACGGGUGAGUAACACGUGGGUAACCUACCCAUCAGAGGGGGAUAACACUUGGAAACAGGUGCUAAUACCGCAUAACAGUUUAUGCCGCAUGGCAUAAGAGUGAAAGGCGCUUUCGGGUGUCGCUGAUGGAUGGACCCGCGGUGCAUUAGCUAGUUGGUGAGGUAACGGCUCACCAAGGCCACGAUGCAUAGCCGACCUGAGAGGGUGAUCGGCCACACUGGGACUGAGACACGGCCCAGACUCCUACGGGAGGCAGCAGUAGGGAAUCUUCGGCAAUGGACGAAAGUCUGACCGAGCAACGCCGCGUGAGUGAAGAAGGUUUUCGGAUCGUAAAACUCUGUUGUUAGAGAAGAACAAGGACGUUAGUAACUGAACGUCCCC
rnacentral:rRNA from 1 species